UACGGAGGGUGCGAGCGUUGUCCGGAAUCACUGGGCGUAAAGGGCGCGUAGGCGGCGCGGGUAGUCAUCGGUGAAAGUUCAGGGCUCAACUCUGAAUCGGCCGGUGAUACUCCCGUGCUCGAGCACUGUAGAGGCAGGUGGAAUUCCGGGUGUAGCGGUGGGAAUGCGUAGAGAUCCGGAAGAACACCGGUGGCGAAGGCGGCCUGCUGGGCAGUGAGCUGACGCUGAUGCGCGACAGCGUGGGGAGCAAACAGG
rnacentral:rRNA from 1 species